UACGAAGGGUGCAAGCGUUACUCGGAAUUACUGGGCGUAAAGCGUGCGUAGGUGGUUUGUUAAGUCUGAUGUGAAAGCCCUGGGCUCAACCUGGGAAUGGCAUUGGAUACUGGCGAGCUAGAGUGCGGUAGAGGGUAGUGGAAUUCCCGGUGUAGCAGUGAAAUGCGUAGAGAUCGGGAGGAACAUCUGUGGCGAAGGCGACUACCUGGCCUGUUCUUGACGCUGAGGCGCGAAAGCUAGGGGAGCAAACGGG
rnacentral:rRNA from 1 species